GAGAUGUUUGCAGUGGAAUGGGAUCUGUUUGUCUGAAGACAUCACGAGGAUGCCUGGGAAAAAAAAGUCCAGGUCAGUCAGAAGUCGUGUAUAGCUCCGCCCCUUUUCUUCCUCCAGGCUGAUGUUGACGAUAUACGGUGCCACAUCGGGGUCAUAUUUUUUGCGAGGAGUUCAUGCCGGGGUUAAAUAGCUGCUUUAUCGCUGAGAUCUGGACCUGAGGAUGAAGCGAGGAAGUGAUCUUUACCUGCU